UACGGAGGGUGCAAACGUUGCUCGGAAUCAUUGGGCGUAAAGCGCACGUAGGCGGGAUGGCAAGUCGGUCGUGAAAUCCCUCGGCUCAACCGAGGAACGUCGAUCGAUACUGCUGUUCUUGAGGAUUGCAGAGGAGACUGGAAUUCCCGGUGUAGCGGUGGAAUGCGUAGAGAUCGGGAAGAACAUCAGUGGCGAAGGCGGUCUGCUGGGCCGUUGCUGACGCUGAGGCGCGACAGCGUGGGGAGCAAACAGG
rnacentral:rRNA from 1 species